AUGCGAGCACAGGCUGAUCCUUGGUUCUCCGAAUACCUCCUACGGAUCGGCAAUGGAACAGAAGAGACAAUUGGCGACGACUAUGUGCGUCUCCCUGAUGACAUUGUGAUCGGCUAUACCAAGGAUGAGAAAGCUAUUAACACACUCAUCGACAAUGUCUUCCCAUCGUUGCAUGCUAAUGCUAGAUCGAGAGAGUAUAUGAGCACACGUGCUAUUCUUUCCACCAAGAACGAUCAUGUCGAUCACCUGAAUGACAAGAUGAUCUCUAGGUUUCCAGGCGAAGAAAAGUUAUACCAUAGUUAA
rnacentral:rRNA from 1 species